UGACCUUAUCUGGUGCUGCGUAACAAAAUAUUGGUCAUAGUCUGUAAUUUGGAAGUUAAUCUAUUUGGGAAAAUGGGCCUGAGACAUGCAAGUAGGAGAUGCUGUGCAUGUUACAUCAUUGUAAACUUGGAGUCAGGAACACCUGUUCGCACUCCUUGUGGGUGUCUACAUGUAGCUAUUCACCAGCAUUAUUCUGGGGAUGGAUGAAUUGCUCAGCAGCUGUCUCUGGAAACUAUCAGUUCAUUCCUUAUAUGACCUAAUUCCAGCCUGGUAGAACUUUGCUUUUGUUCAAAUUAGGCAAAAAAAUACUGGAACAUGAAUACAAUUCGGUCUUUUCACAACAGCUCUCUGUGUUGCUAUCGCAGUCGGUAAGCAGUGUGCUGAAUGGCAUGCAGUUUUCUGACCUCAGGACCUUCCAUAAAGAAGUGGAUCUUAUGAGAUGUGCUUUCAUGCCGUGUCAGAGCAUGGGAUGAGUUUCACCCACUGGGGUAAGUGGUAACUAUAACAUCAAGCUGAGUUUCCUUUAAUAUCUGUCAUAUUUUGCUUUCGUUUUAUUCUGCUGCUCUGUAAUAGGCUCUUCGCCAUGCUUUUGUGUUUAAGGUCGGAUUCAGCUGUACUGUCAGGGAAAAAAAAAAAAAAGAGACUGAAAUCUCAUCUCUGUUGCAUUUGAAGGAUGUAGGACUCUGUGACUCUUAGUCACAUAUGAAGAGAGGUUUCCAUUGAGGAACCUGGGCUGAAACACGGCUAUGAGGUGAGACUACCUCUGUUCCACAAAAAAAAAAAAAAAAAAAAAAAAAAAAGCUCUAGAAAAAAUAAAUUAAGCUUUACUUGCUUUAUGUAUUCUCUGAUAAUUGCAUAGGAUUUACAUGAAAUAUUGAUGGCACACUUUCAGCCUGUACUGGGGAUAAAUGGCACUGCUAUGUGUCUCUGUGCCUGCCUUUCUGAGAGACCCUAGGGUGAAAUGGUAAAGAUCUUCUCUAAGGACUGAGUCCUUUAUGGUCCUCUGUCAGACCUCCUGCGGGAUGUGCUCAGGGAUACCUGGGAGACUAGUGUAGGCUAAACGCUGAUGUCCCAGGAACCACCCUGCCCCUGUCUUCCCUGCUAAAUUGCUGUAGGGCGCUUCACAGGAGCCUUGCUGAGACUGGAUCUUGAGUGAGGGCUAGCUGGAGAGGCUCAGGCCUGACCAGGCAGAGGUAAUGUCGGCAUGAAAGGGAAGCAAGCAAAAGGAAGUGCAGAUAGGAUCUAUCUCCGCUGAUGGCUGUGUCUGUGUAAAUAGUUAAUAGAUAAGGUUUCAGGAGAUAAGUUCUCUAAGACCAAUAAAAUUCCUUCUUUUUGUGCACUGCAAAUGGUUUCCUUUGUUCGCUUCUUUACAUCAACUCUUAACAGCAUCAGUCCUCUACAGGGUGUUGCACCAGCUCCUUGUCAUGCAGGUUUGCAUGGCAGGGUUGCCUGAGAGGCUUAGCUCUGGCUCUUAACCUGUAGCCCAUAACCCUCCCCAUCUGGGUUUGGUUCUUAGGGGUGUCACUUUUCUUUCAGAUGCAAAGUUUGUGACUAUUUCCCAAGACUUUGUCACCUUGAGAUUUGGCUGCAGUGAUGCCUCUUAAGCCAGGGCAGAGCCAAACCUUCUGUAGAAGGCAUUGGCGAGUGCAGGUGGAGUAAUAGCUGUCUGACUGUCUUCUAAUUUUGGGAGUCUCAGGUCCAGUGAUAAUGUAAUUUAUUCCUCUUUAGUCCCAAAUGUGGAUAAUCAACGUGUGAUGUAUUUGCUGUGUGAAUUUUAACAGAACUGGUAAAGAACAGCAGGCUGUAAUAAAACCCUAGGAAAAGCCAUAUCCCACUGUCAUUUCAUAAUGGACAUGAGGUUUGACCAUACGGUAGUGUGGGAUGUUGGGCAAGUUUUGUACAGGACUGGCUUGGAGGGCCUUUUUGAAUAAGACAUUGAACAUACUCAGAAAGUGAAGCUAAUGAAAAAAUGCUCUAACCAAAACCCAGUGAGAUCCAGAUUUUUCCUUCUCAGGGAAUGUCUUAUGGUUGAGUUUUAUUUCCACUCCUAAUGAAAGCAAUAAAACAAUCCAGAAAGCUGUUACAAAACAUGAUUAUGAAUAAUUGUUGGUUAGUCAAGUGAUCUGAGUAAAAGCAAAACAUUUCAUUUAGAUCUCAGCUUAGUAUGGAAAAUAGGAAAGGAAUUUUGCAAUGCAAAAAAUGCCGUUCUGGAAAUGUAGAAACAUUUAAUUUUCGGCAAGCUGAUUCUUUUGCUUUUCUCUUCAAAAGGAAUAUUAGUCAAGAUCAUCAGUUAUGCAGAUUUUUUUUUUCAUGAAUUGACAGUUUCUUAGAGUCUAAAUGUAACCAACUUGUAUGUAAACCACCUAAGGGUAAGUCAAAAUGGUGCUCUAAUCUCAGUGAGUUUAAGUGUUGCUAAGAACUGAGAGUAUCCGAAAAUAUCUGAAACAGUCCUAUAGAUAAGGGUGUGGGUUUUUUUUCUUGGCCAGCCAGAGUAUUUGUGUGGACGAAAUUAUAAUAAGGAAAAGAAAAGGCUUAAACAAGUUGCACUGAUUUUUCUCUUGGUCUAGAACUUCUUUUUAUCAGAUGACAUUUUUUAACUCAAGUGGAACAAGCCAGAAUACUGUGUUACUUUCAACAGUCUGUUGUAGCUCGCUUUUAUUUUCGCCAGCUAAGUCUACAGAAACCUCUGAAAUGUUUUCAGGCCAACAGAAAUGGUAUCCUGGAAGAGCACGCGUUUCUUGAUGAGGAUUUACAAUCAUGACCUUGAUAUGCUAUAAACAGAACCUUCAUUUAAAAGGGAUUAAGGUUGGUUAUGUGUGAUAACCCACCUUAACGUAAACUCUGUGAGAAGAUGCCAAGUCAUGAAUGCCUCCUACCCAUUGCCUUUCAUUGCCAAUGGCCACUACGCUGCUUCGGAGAACCCCUCUGCCGCCAAGUGACAACUGAACAUCCUACAGACGAGCCUUCUCAGGGUAUAAACACAGCUUUGGUAAGACCGUUGGCGUCAGCAUCACUUGGGGUUGUCAGGUGUGACAUGCACACUUCAGUAAGCAGUGCUUUGUGCAUUUUUGUGGCAAAGCACCCGCAGAGAGACCCCCCAGCUGAUUCAGCCGUUCUGAAUCCCAUGUUCUCAGGGAGGCGGAGGCUUGCUAACACAGGUUGGCUUGUGAGCUUGGACAGGGGCAGACUGUGUGAGGCUCUUCUGCACCCUCUGAGCUGAGCUGGUGGAGGCUGCUUCCAGCCCAGGGGACCUGUUGAGUGCCCAGACUUCACACUGAGUGUGGCCUCCCUGGCUCCCAAACUGGUGCUCAGGUCAGGUCAGCUCAGAAUUAAAAAGCUGGGGCUGCCUGUACGUCUGUCUAGUCCUCUGAUGUCUGAAGUAGAAACCGUAAGGGCACCAGCAUCUCUACUCCCAACAGAAAAAAAAAAUGCAAAGAAAUAAGCAUUUUUCCUGUGUGCAGCUCUCAAAAGAACUGGCCUGAGCCCUGGUCCUGAUUGUGGCUCCUGUCCAGCUGGAAAUUUGGGGAAAGAUGGCUGUUUCUUCUGCAAAUUCCUUUCCACAUACUGCACACACGCAUGCACACACAUGGGGUUGUGAAGUGGUUACAUCUUUACUGAGGGUUUUGCUAUAGGCUGGGUGAAGCCUUGUUGAAAAUGGUAGGUCUAAUCACCGCCCUGUCUUCUGAGCUACAGGAGACAGUUCAGCACAUGUUUCUGCCCAAAACAAAGGCAAAUGUAAGGUUGCCCAGGAAUUUAAAAGAUCUGGGUGGGGAGCCUUGUUGAAUUUGUUUUGGGCAGGGAUGCAUGUGGAAAAGAGAGGGAGCAGAUUGAGCAGCAGACUGGGAGGAGAGGUGGGCAGUCUGCAGGAGCCUGGUGCACAGCUUUGGGAGCAGCCAGGAGGGGGAUUUCAGUCCUGAGGUUUGCUGGAAGGACCUUGGGAACUCGAAGAAGGAAUCCUUCUCCCAUUAUGUGAGUCAGGAUGUGUGAUUUAGUAGUGGUUCAAAAGUGGGCAACCGUAUAUUCCAUCCCAUUCAAAGCCAUACACAACUGUAAUCAUCCCAAGUAACAAAAAAUUGUGAAUAAAACAAGAGAGGAAGGAGAAAGUCUGCUUACCUAUAUUUUUGAAAUGCAUGACCAAAAUACCUUGCCUCUACCUUUAACCAUUAGAGAAUUUUGAAAGACUGGUUAUUUAUCAGGCCAAAACAGAGUCAACGUAAGGAAGUCCUUACAGAUCUAUUUUUAUAUUCAUUGAAAGUCACAGUCUGAACAAAAUUAUUUUAAAAUUCCCAGAUAAUUCAGUCUCUGUAGAUUAUGAACUACAGGUUUGGUAAAUUCUGUAUACAGCCAAAGCAAAGAGUCCAAGACCUUUAAUUAAUAAACUUAAGUGAAAUAUUUGAACAAUCUGAUAAUAAACACUGAAACAGGCCCUGGACUGUUUAUUUAAGUCACAGUUGUAACAACAGCCUUGGAAGAUUUACCUGUGGUAGGACUGCAGAUGCGGUUACUCAGAGAUUUUGGUAGGAUUUUUAAACUCGUAUAACUGUACUUUUAUUUCUAUAUAUUCCAGCUAGGGCUAGAGUCCUUAUCAUUGCAGAAACAGGGAUUUAUAGCACUUUAUUCCCUUUAGUGUUCAUGUGGAAGGCCACGGAGCCCUCACUCGGAGGCUUGCUGAUAUAAAGAUAAUCAUCUUUGAAGUGAACUUCCUAGGAACCAAGUCCUCCUCCAGCUGGAGGCAAUGGAAAUGCUAUUGCUGACAUCAGUGGUAAUAAAUUUCAGUUCUAACAUUCUUUAUGACACCUCUUUUUGGAACAGAUACAUUUACUGGAGCAGUCAUUACUAAUUGCCUGCAUUUUUUUGUUCGUUUUGUUAAAUAAGACUUGUAUUUCUUUUUUUUUUUUUUUUUUAAACCCAAUGCUCAUGGAAAGGAAGGACGGUCUAUGUUGGCUAAAUCUUUUAAAUAUUGAACUUAUCUCCUUUGUCUUCCUUUUUAUUAUCCAUCCAUUUGAAAGGAAGGUGUUUAUGAUGUGAGGUUUGGCAAAUAGAUCAUGAAAUGUAAAUUCUAUUUUAUUUUUUGUGAUGCAGACAGAGAGGGAGAAAUACUAUUGUUUGACCAAUUUAUUUCUUUUUUUUAAUUCACACUGAGUUGCAGCUCAGCAUGACUUGAAAUGACAGUGAUACCAAGCCCAAGAGUCAAGAUGAUACAGUGGAAAUGCCAACUGACUCCUCAGAACAGCACUGCCAGUGGCACCACUCUUUACUGUUAUUGACUGAAUUCAAAGGGGCCUGGGUUUUGCUCUCAACUCAUGCAUUAUGUUAUCAUUUUUCUAGUCUCACAUAAUUUAUUUAAAAGCAAUUGUUUCUCUGAUUCACAGCCAUCUACACAUAUGCAAUUCGAAACGUUAUGUGCCAUAUUUUAUCUCUCCCUGGGUACAAGUCUACAAUGUGUUGAAGUUUACGUGAGAUGAGGAUGCUCAGCACUUCACCAAGGCAGGCCCCAAGCGAGAGGUGGAUGUCAUGUUUCAGCAAGUGUCCUUCAGGCCAGGAACUGUUUGCAACGCACGGAGCACAUUUGGGAUCUGACUGCUGUUAUUAUUCCCUUUCGCAGUGUGCUACAUACAUAUCUUUUUUGAUUUCCACGAAUAUGACAGGGAUCUAUGCAGUGAAGCAUGCUGCAGUGAUAUGAAACUCUCUCAGCGAUUUUCAAAAUAUGCAACCCAUAAAUCAUUCACCUUAACCUGGGCCCAAAUUUGCAUGAAACUGGGGGUCGAUUGUCUCCAAAGCUAAUUUACCAAAAGUCCAACCAAUCCCAGCUGUGUGUGAAGCACAUAACGAAGUUAUAAAGGCAGGUUUCAGAUGGCUUCAGGGUCUGUAAUGGAUGCUUUGCACAGCUGUAAUGAUGAGUGGGUGAGGAGAGUGAAGAAUGAAUCGAGUGUGGGUGGUGGAAAUAUUCACUGGGCAUGUCAUGGCCAGGGGAGGAAGCACAGAGGCCUCCCAGCCUCCGUGAUGGGAAAGACGUCAAGGCUCCCUGGACAUGGGUCCUAGUUAUUUAUUUAUUUCAGCCCUGACAUGUUCCCAUUAGGAAAGCAAAAAAUGUGAAAUGGAUACCGUUUCUUUUGAAAGCAGGGAGCUGAUUGUGGCUAAGCAGCAGAGCUGUCUUAUAAUCUGCUUCCAAACGUGUGGGUGCCUCUUGGGUUUCCUCAGCUAUUUUAUGGCCCAUUUUCAAAGAUUUCUGUAAAAUCAGGCCAACAACGUCUGCAUCCCCUACCACAUCAGUGAAAAAUUGGACCGUGUUUCAGAGCCAUGUAAAUUCCUUCUAUAAGGAACACUUACGUUUUACAAAGUGUAAAUUUAGCAGACCGGUUCACGGGAUGAAUUCGUCCCUGGUUUGUCCCCCUUGUUACAUUACAGUUACCACGGGGACGGGGUGACUAAUAGUUUAUCAUUAGUGAGCAGCCAGAGGAGCACCACGUACAACUGCACAUUACAAAGGUUUCUUCCAGGAUUGCCAUGACGUGCUCAGAUAGUUGAUAAGAUAAUUCAGUCUUACUGUUCCCACAUUUUCAUGAGAACUUACCUAUAAGUAAACAAACCCCGAAGCCUAGUUUAUGUUUCUUAAUUGUAUUAUUAUAGGGUGCAGUAAAUGUAAUAAAGCAAUCUUCUAACUUGGCUUUUCA